CCUACGGGAGGCUGCAGUGAGGAAUAUUGGUCAAUGGACGAAAGUCUGAACCAGCCAAGUCGCGUGCAGGAUGACUGCCCUAUGAGUUGUAAACUUCUUUUGUAAGGGGAUAAAACGAGGCACGUGUGCCUUGUUGCAUGUACUUUAUGAAUAAGGAUCGGCUAACUCCGUGCCAGCAGCCGCGGUAAUACGGAGGAUCCGAGCGUUAUCCGGAUUUAUUGGGUUUAAAGGGAGCGUAGACGGGUUGUUAAGUCAGUUGUGAAAGUUUGCGGCUCAACCGCAAAAUUGCAAUUGAUACUGGCAGGCUUGAGUACAGUUGAGGUAAGCGGAAUUCGUGGUGUAGCGGUGAAAUGCAUAGAUAUCACGAAGAACCCCGAUUGCGAAGGCAGCUUACUAAACUGUGACUGACAUUGAUGCUCGAAAGUGUGGGUAUCAAACAGGAUUAGAUACCCUGGUAGUC
rnacentral:rRNA from 1 species